rnacentral:lncRNA from 10 species
GAAAGAAAACUGGAUCUGAGGCAGAUGACAAUGGAAGUUAAGAGACAUAGCACAGGUAAGCAUGACUAAUUCCUGCCAAUUAAGCCAAGCCUCCCAUUUCAUGGAUAGUGGUCAUGCUAGUAUCUAUGGCAUGCAUGAGGUCUAGGGAACUUGAAAGCUACUGACAGCAAGGGGAAAGGCAGUGUGUGGGUAAGGGUGGAUAAUCCUACCCUCUAACCCACCUGUUAACAUGGGUGAAAAGGCACAUUGACACCCAUGGGCAGCACCCUGUCAUUGUCUUCAGGACUCCGGGAUACAAGGAAAGAAGGAAGAAAAGGGAUGCCUCUCUUGCCUCUCCCUCACAUACCCUGGGUAUUUGCUGGGAAGAGAAGGGAACUAGGCAUGCCUUGCUCCCCUCUUUCUAGAUGAGUAGCCAUUCA